CCUACGGGUGGCAGCAGUCGAGAAUCAUUCACAAUGGGGGAAACCCUGAUGGUGCGACGCCGCGUGGGGGAAUGAAGGUCUUCGGAUUGUAAACCCCUGUCAUGUGGGAGCAAAUUAAAAAGAUAGUACCACAAGAGGAAGAGACGGCUAACUCUGUGCCAGCAGCCGCGGUAAUACAGAGGUCUCAAGCGUUGUUCGGAAUCACUGGGUGUAAAGCGUGCGUAGGCUGUUUCGUAAGUCGUGUGUGAAAGGCGCGGGCUCAACCCGCGGACGGCACAUGAUACUGCGAGACUAGAGUAAGGGAGGGGGAACCGGAAUUCUCGGUGUAGCAGUGAAAUGCGUAGAUAUCGAGAGGAACACUCGUGGCGAAGGCGGGUUCCUGGACAUUAACUGACGCUGAGGCACGAAGGCCAGGGGAGCGAAAGGGAUUAGAUACCCCAGUAGUC
rnacentral:rRNA from 1 species